rnacentral:lncRNA from 1 species
AGCUCCGGAUUCACUGCUGACCGCCGUCCGCCUCGCGUGGGGCAGAUGCUCUGGACGCCCAACCCUGACCUGUAGCUUCUCAAACCAGCCGCUGGGACCUCGGAAGCAGCUGCGACCUUGGGACCAGGCAGGUGUCCUGAUUCUUGGUGGCUGCCACUGAGUCUGUGUCCCUCUCAUCAGAGAGAGCCCCUAUCUCAUGAACGCUCUCUCCGUUAUCACUGGGGUCCUCCACCCACUUUGUCUCCAUAAGAAAUUAACCAUUCUACCCUGUUUCUCAGGUUACCCUCUCCCAUUCACCAACCCCCAAACUUUGAAACCCCUGUCAACUUCAUGUUUGUUGCAUACAGCUUGUAUCUAGCAGCCUAAGUACCUCCGUGGCCAUCCUACUCCAGUUCAGCUCCUGGGAGAACCCCGUUUCUGAGAAGCGGUGUCUCCCUUUCUAUAUACAUGAGACAGCAGUCACUCACUGUCUUCUGGGACGCUAGCCCAGGCUUCCUUGAGAAAGGGAAUUGACUUCUAACCGAUUUCCCCUUAUAUUGUCACCUGCCUACUUGGACGCAUCUAUUCCACUGUGGAAUAGUGACACACAGUGACACCGCACCUGCCUCCCUACCGUGUGUGAGUGUGUGUGCGCGUGUCAUGUAUGUGUGGUGUGGAGUAGGUGUGUGUGCAUGCAUGAAGUGUUUGUAUUUGUGUGUGCUGGUGAGCUGGCCCAUACGAGCACAUAUGGAGGCCAGAGGUCGAGGCCAUCCUCUAGUGCUCCUACCUUAAAUUUAAUAGACAGGGUCCCAUUAAACUUGAAGCUGACAUGCCUGCUAGACUGGAAGGCCAGCAAAUUCUCUCACCUGUCCCUCUGCCUGUCCCCUUUCCCCCAUAGCACUGAAGUUACAAACGCUGAGGUUGUACCCAGGUUCUAUUUGAAUGCAGGGACUCAAACAGAACCCCAUGCUUGUGUUUCACUGAGCCAUUUUCCUCAUCCCCUCCUCAUAUGUUUUUUAUUUUGUUUUAUUUUUGCAGUGAUGGGGACUUGCAAUCCCAUAGUCAAGUUUCACAAUCUGGCUUAUUUUUAGGUUAAAAAUUGGUCAUUAUUGCUCCUUAAUUAGAAGCCUCUUUCUCACUGAGGACAGGACUUGGCCAGGCAAAAAGUACUUUGCUUUUUUUUUUUAUUUUAGCAAUGAUAAUGAAAUAUUGAAACUUAAAUCCAAGGAAACGUACAAUUUAUAGGCCAACCAGUCUUCAUAGUUACUACAAUGGCCAAUAAGUAACCAUAUGUGGCAUUGUAAAUUAAAUUUUAGUAGUUCAGUUUCCUCUUGUGUCUUAGCCAAACUUCAAGUGCUGGCUGCAUUAUUGGCUGUGAUAAGACAUUUUCAUCAUUGUAGAAAGGGUUGGCUUGGCUUGGCUUGGGGAUUUUGUUUGUUUUGUCUUUAGAAACAGGUCUUAUGCCAUUCAAGCUAACCUGGAACUCAUAGCCAAGAGUGACGGUGAGCUACUGAUCCUCCUGCCGACACCUCCCAAAUGAUGGGAUUAUUGGUAUUUACCACCUUGCCAGGCAGUGCAGGAAGUACUGUGGGAUAAUUAAGAGACUAUAGGGUCAAGACUAAGUCUCCCCUAAUAUAGAUUUGUGUACAGAAAGGAGGUCUAGCAUAUGGACUAGAAUCAGACCCUCCCUUGUCUCCUGUUGUCUUGACCUAAUCUUUCACGGUAAGGCACACUUGAGGCAGGAGCCCUUCGGAGACUAAAUAGAAUUUGGUUUUGUUUUCACAGAGUGUGAUUUCAGGCUUCCACAAUGAGAACAGUUGUGAUAUUUUAAGAAAGUUCUCUAUUUAAGAAGCAAUCAGAGUGCUAUACCUCCAUUGAACAGACAUGGAAUCAGAUGCUAACACCGACAGGAUUGCUAAAACCAAAAAGCUUUGGGAAACUCUAAAUCAAAAGGAAACAAUAGAUUAUUCAGUAUUAGUUAUGGAAAGUUUAUCAACUACUUGGAUUUUUUUUCCCUUCGAGACAGGGUUUCUCUGUGUAGCUCUGGCUAUCCUAGAACUCAUUCCAUAGACCAGGCUGGCCUCGAAUUCACAGAAAUUCACCUGCCUCUGCUUCCUAAGUGCUGGGAUUAAAGUUGUGUGCCAUUACACUGGAUUACCUACUUGGAUCUUAAAUUAGAUUCACCUCCAUGACAUAAAAAAAUUUAGCAUUCAGAAGGUGGAGGCAGGAGGAUCAGAAUAUUUAUUAUGUAGUUCUUUCUCCAUUAGACUCUAAAGGUGGAGACUAUAUUCUGUGUCUAGGUUGGUCUUUUUAUAUAAGAUGCUCAUUGCUUACUAGAAUAACAAAGUUACCUCCUUUUAAAAUAAUUUCAUAUGCUCUUGUACACAGAGUCUGAGUGAAGUAUAACUGGACAAUUGGGAUAUUGUCUUAGUUAGGUUUCUUUGCUGUAAUAAAGCACCAUGACCCAAAACAACUUGGGAAGGAAACAGUUUAUUUCAGCUUCUAUGUCAUGGUGACAGUCCUUUGUGAAGAGACUUGUGUGGUGUGUGAGUUCAAGGUAUAAGAAAUAUGCCUCAUAUUCAAGCCAUAAGGAAUAUGAAUAUAUAUGUACACACACACACACACACACACACACACACACACACACACAUACAUAUAUAUUCAACUCACUGACAUCUGCCUGCCUCUGCCUUCCAAGUGCUGGAGCUAAAGAUGUGUGCCACCAUGCCUGGCUCAUUGUUAUAUUUUUAAAAUUAUUUGUAUGUGCCACUGCCUACAGAAACCAGAAAUGUUGGACACUAUCCCUGGUGCUGGAGUUAUGGGCAGUUAAGAGCCACUUAACAUGGGUGCUAGG